rnacentral:rRNA from 1 species
GGACUACACGGGUAUCUAAUCCUGUUUGCUCCCCACGCUUUCGCGCCUCAGCGUCAGUUACAGUCCAGAAAGUCGCCUUCGCCACUGGUGUUCCUCCACAUCUCUACGCAUUUCACCGCUACACGUGGAAUUCCACUUUCCUCUCCUGCACUCAAGCCUUGCAGUUUCCGGUGCGUUCCAGGGUUGAGCCCCAGUCUUAGACACCAGACUUACAAUGCCGCCUGCGCGCGCUUUACGCCCAAUAAUUCCGGACAACGCUUGCCCCCUACGUAUUACCGCGGCUGCUGGCAC